rnacentral:rRNA from 1 species
UUGGUUAAGUUAGAAAGGGCGCACGGUGGAUGCCUUGGCACUAGGAGCCGAAGAAGGACGGGACUAACACCGAUAUGCUUUGGGGAGCUGUACGUAAGCGUUGAUCCAGAGAUUUCCGAAUGGGGGAACCCACUAUCUUUAGUCGGAUAGUAUCCUUACGUGAAUACAUAGCGUGAGGAAGGCAGACCCAGGGAACUGAAACAUCUAAGUACCUGGAGGAAGAGAAAGAAAAAUCGAUUUCCUGAGUAGCGGCGAGCGAAACGGAAAGAGCCCAAACCAAGAAGCUUGCUUCUUGGGGUUGUAGGACACUCUAUACGGAGUUACAAAAGAAAGUUAUAAAUGAAGCGGUCUGGAAAGGCCCGCCAAAGACGGUAACAGCCCGGUAGUUGAAAUGGCUUUCCCUCCAGAGUGGAUCCUGAGUACGGCGGAACACGUGAAAUUCCGUCGGAAUCCGGGAGGACCAUCUCCCAAGGCUAAAUACUCCCUAGUGACCGAUAGUGAACCAGUACCGUGAGGGAAAGGUGAAAAGCACCCCGGAAGGGGAGUGAAACAGUUCCUGAAACCGUGUGCCUACAAGUAGUUAGAGCCCGUUAAUGGGUGAUAGCGUGCCUUUUGUAGAAUGAACCGGCGAGUUACGAUUUGUUGCAAGGUUAAGCGGAAAAAGCGGAGCCGUAGCGAAAGCGAGUCUGAAUAGGGCGCAUAAGUAACAGGUCGUAGACCCGAAACCAGGUGAUCUACCCAUGUCCAGGAUGAAGGUAAGGUAAUACUUACUGGAGGUCCGAACCCACGCACGUUGAAAAGUGCGGGGAUGAGGUGUGGGUAGCGGAGAAAUUCCAAUCGAACUUGGAGAUAGCUGGUUCUCUCCGAAAUAGCUUUAGGGCUAGCCUCGAGGUAAAGAGUCAUGGAGGUAGAGCACUGUUUGGACUAGGGGCCCUUCUCGGGUUACCGAAUUCAGAUAAACUCCGAAUGCCAUGUACUUAUACUCGGGAGUCAGACUGCGAGUGAUAA